rnacentral:rRNA from 1 species
UACGUAGGUGGCAAGCGUUGUCCGGAUUUACUGGGCGUAAAGGAUGCGUAGGCGGAUGUUUAAGUGAGAUGUGAAAUACCCGAGCUCAACUUGGGUGCUGCAUUUCAAACUGGAUAUCUAGAGUGCAGGAGAGGAAAGCGGAAUUCCUAGUGUAGCGGUGAAAUGCGUAGAGAUUAGGAAGAACACCAGUGGCGAAGGCGGCUUUCUGGACUGUAACUGACGCUGAGGCAUGAAAGCGUGGGGAGCAAGCAGG